rnacentral:rRNA from 1 species
UUGAACGCUGGCGGCAGGCCUAACACAUGCAAGUCGAACGGUAGCAGGAAGAAGCUUGCUUCUUCGCUGACGAGUGGCGGACGGGUGAGUAAUGUCUGGGAAACUGCCUGAUGGAGGGGGAUAACUACUGGAAACGGUAGCUAAUACCGCAUAACGUCGCAAGACCAAAGAGGGGGACCUUCGGGCCUCUUGCCAUCGGAUGUGCCCAGAUGGGAUUAGCUUGUUGGUGGGGUAACGGCUCACCAAGGCGACGAUCCCUAGCUGGUCUGAGAGGAUGACCAGCCACACUGGAACUGAGACACGGUCCAGACUCCUACGGGAGGCAGCAGUGGGGAAUAUUGCACAAUGGGCGCAAGCCUGAUGCAGCCAUGCCGCGUGUAUGAAGAAGGCCUUCGGGUUGUAAAGUACUUUCAGCGGGGAGGAAGGGAGUAAAGUUAAUACCUUUGCUCAUUGACGUUACCCGCAGAAGAAGCACCGGCUAACUCCGUG